rnacentral:lncRNA from 1 species
UGGACUCUCUCUCUUGCUCACAAUAAAUAAAUAGAAGUUAAAACAAAAAGGGAGGACUCCUUAUCACUUUCAGAAAAAGAAAAACAAAAAAAGGAAAAAAAAAUCAUUUUUCUUCUUUCCCACAACACCAACACGCAUCAAUUCCGGCCGCUGCACAUCUCCCUCCUUCGUCCAAACCCAUCAUCGUCAACAACCUUUCUUCCACACUCGUCGCGACCUACCAACAACCGUCGCCGGGACCACACCACCGG